GCCUAAUACAUGCAAGUCGAACGAUGAUCCCCAGCUUGCUGGGGGGAUUAGUGGCGAACGGGUGAGUAACACGUGAGUAACCUGCCCUUAACUCUGGGAUAAGCCUGGGAAACUGGGUCUAAUACCGGAUAUGACUCCUCAUCGCAUGGUGGGGGGUGGAAAGCUUUUUGUGGUUUUGGAUGGACUCGCGGCCUAUCAGCUUGUUGGUGAGGUAAUGGCUCACCAAGGCGACGACGGGUAGCCGGCCUGAGAGGGUGACCGGCCACACUGGGACUGAGACACGGCCCAGACUCCUACGGGAGGCAGCAGUGGGGAAUAUUGCACAAUGGGCGCAAGCCUGAUGCAGCGACGCCGCGUGAGGGAUGACGGCCUUCGGGUUGUAAACCUCUUUCAGUAGGGAAGAAGCCGCAAGGUGACGGUACCUGCAGAAGAAGCGCCGGCUAACUACGUGCCAGCAGCCGCGGUAAUACGUAGGGCGCAAGCGUUAUCCGGAAUUAUUGGGCGUAAAGAGCUCGUAGGCGGUUUGUCGCG
rnacentral:rRNA from 1 species